rnacentral:rRNA from 1 species
AAUAUUGGACAAUGGGCGCAAGCCUGAUCCAGCCAUGCCGCGUGAGUGAUGAAGGCCUUAGGGUUGUAAAGCUCUUUCGGCGGGGACGAUAAUGACGGUACCCGCAGAAGAAGCCCCGGCUAACUUCGGGCCAGCAGCCGCGGUAAUACGAAGGGGGCAAGCGUUGUUCGGAAUUACUGGGCGUAAAGGGCGCGUAGGCGGCCGAUCAAGUCAGGCGUGAAAUUCCCGGGCUCAACCUGGGGGCUGCGCUUGAUACUGAUUGGCUUGAAUGCGGGAGAGGAUAGUGGAAUUCCCAGUGUAGAGGUGAAAUUCGUAGAUAUUGGGAAGAACACCGGUGGCGAAGGCGGCUAUCUGGCCCGUAAUCGACGCUGAGGCGCGAAAGCGUGGGGAGCAAAC